rnacentral:rRNA from 1 species
GACGAACGCUGGCGGCGUGCUUAACACAUGCAAGUCGAACGGAAAGGCCCUGCUUUUGUGGGGUGCUCGAGUGGCGAACGGGUGAGUAACACGUGAGUAACCUGCCCUUGACUUUGGGAUAACUUCAGGAAACUGGGGCUAAUACCGGAUAGGAGCUCCUGCUGCAUGGUGGGGGUUGGAAAGUUUCGGCGGUUGGGGAUGGACUCGCGGCUUAUCAGCUUGUUGGUGGGGUAGUGGCUUACCAAGGCUUUGACGGGUAGCCGGCCUGAGAGGGUGACCGGCGACAUUGGGACUGAGAUACGGCCCAGACUCCGACGGGAGGCAGAAGUGGGGAAUAUUGCACAAUGGGCGGAAGCCUGAUGCAGCAACGCCGCGUGGGGGAUGACGGCCUUCGGGUUGUAAACCUCUUUUAGUAGGGAAGAAGCGCAAGUGACGGUACCUGCAGAAAAAGCACCGGCUAACUACGUG